rnacentral:rRNA from 1 species
AGAGGGUGCAAGCGUUWAUCGGAUUUACUGGGKGUAAAGGGUGCGUAGGUGGUUUUCUAAGUCGGAUGUGAAAUCCUCGGGCUCAACCUGAGAACUGCACUCGAUACUGCGAGAYUAGAGAUCGGUAGAGGGCGGCGGAAUUUCCGGUGUAGCAGUGAAAUGCGUAGAUAUCGGAAGGAACAYCAAUGGCGAAGGCAGCCGCCUGGGCCUGAUCUGACRCUGAGGCACGAAAGCGUGGGUAGCAAACAGGAUUAGAUACCCUGGUAGUCCACGCCGUAAACGAUGAAWACUUGAYGUUGGAUUGUUUUACAUUCCAGUGUCSCAGCUAACGCGAUAARUUUUCCSCCUGGGGAGUACGGCCGCRRGGKUG